GACUGCGGAGACAUUA
rnacentral:rRNA from 1 species